GGAGCUCAGACAAGGGCCAAGUAUUAUUUAUUAAAAAUUAGAGAAAUCUCACAAAGUAAAGCUGAAGUUUAUAUCGAAUAAAACUUACUUCCGUUCAUUGGAGUUCAAUAGGACUAAACAAGAGAUAAUGCCAAACGGUGAAGAGGAUGACAUAUCUGUAACAAAAAACUAAAAAUGGGGCUUGUUGUAGAAUUACUACAUUGUUCCUAUGUUAGGAGAAAGAUGCUUCAGAAUAUUUUGAUUUUUUUGCUGAUAUGAUAAAAAUUAAGAGGAAAUCUUGGAGCCAUCCUAGAAGGUUAGUUUCAUUACAUUUAAAAAGUUGUGAGGAGCUCUUUUAAGGCUCUGAAGUUUUUUAUUUAUUCUUGCUUAACCAACAUAUAUAGAGGUGAUAGGAAACGACCUCUUUUGGAGAAAAACUAAUCAAGUUGGGUGAGGGUGGGUCAACAGAUAAGGUGGUGACUCCUCAUUCGACGGUCGCACCACGUAGGACGGUGUGACCAUCCCACUAAAGUUUUUCUCAUUCUUUUGUGUAGGGGGGAAGAGGAUGUUGGGAUAGAUGAAGGAAAGGGGUGGAAGAGACUCAGAAAUCACGAGAGUCAUAAAGUAUAAAUUUGAAUUUAAGGAAAACUAAGUCUAGAUAAUUUUUGUCUUUACUUUUAAGUAGGAAAAUGUUUCGAAAAGUUGUUGUAGUUUGUGAAACAUGUUUAAUAGCUCCACGCUUCCUGUCUCCUCGAAAUAUUACUCAUACGAUUGUUAAUUGUACUAGUAUAUAUGUAUUGCCUUUUUUAACCUGUUAUGCGAAUACAGGUAUACACCUCCUUUUUCGAAUCUGUUAAGAAAGUGAAAAAUUGAUGUCUUAUAAAUAAGAUAAUCAUGCGCGAAUAUUUCAUUUGGGAAUCCUGACAUUUUCUAUUUCAUGCUCAUCACUAGUUGAUAACCAGUGCAACACGCAGGAGAAUAUAAAACCACAAGAAGUAAAAUAAAUAAUCUUUUUUUAUGAUAAAUUCACAGGAAAAAGUAAAAACUCAGAUACCAAGUUUUAACUGCAAUACCAAAUCUCCAAAGCCUUAUCAUGCCUUCAUAGAAUCCUUUUGCCACUCAGCUUUCGUUUCCUACGCAAAUAAAAACAUGCACCACUUCGCUUUUUUUUUUUUUUACAUUGAUGCUUAUCUCCGUGUAAUCUUGAUUUCGGAACUGCCUGAAUAAGAUUUGCAAGAUAAGUGGACACAUUUUUCAUUUCAUAAAUCAAGUUCUUUGUACCCCUAUUUUAUUGAAGUUUAUAUAAUGUCUGAUCCAUAUAUUUUUCAACAUGUGUCUAGUGAUAUCACCGUGUAAUAUAUUUCUUCAUAAAAAUAAUUGUAAGACUAUCAUUAUGACCCUUCAAUGAUAUAUUUGGAUAUUACUUUUUAGAAAAGGAUAUUGCUACAUGUACAUCAAGCUUUAUAUAAUGGAUUACAUUAUAUCACAUGUCAUGAUAUCAUUCGUCAGUUAAAUCAUAGUGAAUUUUUUCGUCCAAUCUUUUCUCUUCACAUCAUUUUUUGUAAUCCCUUGUGUACCCCUAAUAUAUUGAAGUUUUAUAAUGUCCGAUCCAUAUGUUUUUCAACAUGUGUCGAGUGAUAUUACCGUGUAAUAUAUUUUUUCAUAAAAAGAAUUGUAAGACUGUCAUUAUGACCCUUCAAUGAUAUAUUUGGGUAUCACCUUUUAGAAAAGGAUAUUGUUAUAUGUACAUCAAACUUUACAUAAUGGGUUACAUUAUACCACAUGUCACGAUAUCAUUCGUUAGUUUAAAUCAUAGUCAAUUUUUUCAUCCAAUAUUUUCUCUUCACAUCAUUUUAUGUAAUCCCUUAGUGCAAUUUUUAUGUACAUGUAGCAUGAUCCUUCAAAAAAAUGAUGCAAUUUCAUUUUCUAAUAUAAAAUAUUUCAUUUACGAAGUACUAACUGUGUGGUAAUUAAAAUAACAAAAAUAUUCAUUGCUAUGCUGCUACUGAUUAAAUAUUGAGCUGUGUGUGAAUAAUAUUAUUUGUCAUGCUAAUGGUCAGAUAUGAGCUUCAUGCCAUUCGACUAGAAAAACUAAAAGAGCUUAGAGCAGAGAACGGAACUGUCUCAAAUACUAGUGCAUGUGAACUUGAAAUGUCAGAAGCAAAACACACAAUAUCUAUGGAGCCUGCAACUUCCAUGGAAAGAAACUCAGAUGGCGCUCAAAGCUGAAAUCGAGGAAGAGAUAAUUUGGCAGCGACUGGGGAAAAUGCAAAGAUAUUUGACGCUCAGGAAAAAAAAAAAAAAUACUCACUCAGUUGUUAGGAAAAAUCUAAACGGACAGGGCAACGUGGACGUACAUGUGCUCCCCCCUGGACGGACAGGGCCUACGUUGCCUUGUCCGUGUAGCAGGCCUCCAGUUGUUAAUCUGCCAAGGGAAGACCUCAAGGUGAUUUACCGGGGAAAUUAUAACAAAGCCUUACCAGGCAGAUGACCUGAGUUCGAGUUUCCUUUUGGGAGGGCGAAAUCCUGUGAUUCCCUUUCUAGGGACAAAAGGUCGUAUGGCUUAGAUAAUUGGUUUUGCUGAAAAUAACAAGAAUUAUUAUCCGCAUAGCUAAUUUUUAGUUCUCUCUC